rnacentral:rRNA from 1 species
AAAGUACUUUGAAAAGAGAGUUCAAUAGCACGUGAAACUGUACAUUGAAAAGCGGAUGAGAGCACAUGCACUGAAUUAAGUAAUUCACCUUCAUAUUUUGUGUUACUCAACGUGUAAUAUGUUGAUGUUGAAUUUCAAACUAUGAAGCGCAUUCUACUUAUUCACAAGCUGUUUGGGUUCGAUAUUGUGCUUGUCACAUGUAUCGCACGUUUAAUUCAAUAAUUCAACCAGGUUCAUGUACCUCGCACAAUAACAGACCUUACGACAAUGUUUGACAGCGUUUAAAAAUGGCAGCAAAUGUGGUUAAGUUAAGUGCUUCUAAGGAAGUACAUUGGUUUUUCCACUUUGCCGUACACAUCAAGCUGUCAAUCUAUGGAAAAACAGUAAAAUGUGUGCAGUAUCAUCCGACCCGUCUUGAAACACGGAU